rnacentral:rRNA from 1 species
UACAGAGGGUGCAAGCGUUGUUCGGAAUCAUUGGGCGUAAAGGGCUCGUAGGCGGCCAACUAAGUCGAACGUGAAAUCCCUCAGCUUAACUGGGGAACUGCGUCCGAUACUGAUUGGCUUGAAUUCGGGAGAGGGAUGCAGAAUUCCAGGUGUAGCGGUGAAAUGCGUAGAUAUCUGGAGGAAUACCGGUGGCGAAGGCGGCAUCCUGGACCGACAUUGACGCUGAGGCGCGAAAGCCAGGGGAGCAAACGGG